rnacentral:tRNA from 1 species
GCCUUCGUGGUGUAGUGGUCAGCACACUCGGCGCGUAAACGAGAGGUCCGUGGUUCGAUUACCGGCGAAGGCG